ensembl:lncRNA
GUCACCGGGCACGGUCACCGGGCACGGUCACGGUCACAGCCGCCGCCCGCUAUGACUUCAUUGGACCUGGGAGAAUUAGAAACUUCCCUGAGGAAACAAGUCACUGGCCACUCAUGGAGAUUUGCCAAGGAGAUUGUGCAGCAGAUAAAUUACUGACGUAUAAAAGGAAAAAGACUAAGAAAGAAAAAAAAUGCAGUAAGAACAAAAUAGAAAAUAUGGAUGAGUUAUACGUCCACUCCAAUAUGUCGCCUCCACUGUGGAGGGUGAAGAAAACAGGUCAUGUAGACAAUCACUGAAAUUGGCAUCUUUUCUCUCUCAAGUAGCCAGUGGCAACACCAAUGUGCUGUUCCAGCAAAUAUCCUCAAAAUAUAACCUAGGAAGCCAACUUCUGCAAAAAGCAAGGCAGUUGAAAGUGAACGUGGCUCCUUCUCUGCAGUUUGAAAGCUUUGGCUUUGGAGGUGCACUGGGUCUGGCUGGGACAGAGUUAAUUAUCUUCCUAGCAGUUCAGAGGGUGCUGUUUUGGAUCUGUGACUGGAGCAGUGCUGGUAAUACACCAGAGUCUGGCUGCUGCCCAACAGUCCUUGCAGAGGGGCAAGGUUUUCUCUUUCUUCUGCUCUGCUGCCUCAGUGAGUAGGUGAGGGUGUGCAAGAAAUUGAGAAGGGACACAACCAGGACAGCUGGCACAAAAGGAUCAGAGGGAUAUUCCAUGCCAGAUAAAAUCAUGCACGCCAGUGCUCCCAAACUACAGGAAGGAGGCUUUUGGGGAGGUGGCCAUUGCUCAGAGACCGCUGAGCAUCGGGGUACUUGAGGGAAAAGAUGGGGGAGGGCCUUUGCAAAGCUUGAUCUGGGUUUUUUCUUCUCCUUCCUUUCACUUAUUAAACUGACUUUAAUUUAUCUGUAUCUGUGAGAUUUCUCAAUUCUGUUCUCCCUAAUCUCUCCCCUGUCCUACUGCUGGGGCGAUGAGUGAGUGUCGUGUGGUGAAACUGCUGGAUAUGGUCAACCCACCACAAGAAAGAACUCAGAAGAAAUGGGGUAGAAAAGGAGUGCUCUCAUUAUUGAAACAUUUUAGGCUCUGUCUAGUGUGUGGAAAUACCCAUAUGUAUGGUCUAUUGUGACAAGACAUAAGAAACUCUUGCUUGACUUUUUUACUGUAUGAUUUACCUGAAGAACUUAAGAAAUCUUAUUGUGCAGGAAACUACCAGAUUUGUGUUUUGGGUAUCCUGUGAGAAGCAAUGACAUCUUAUAGUAAGAAAAGUACGUGAAGAUCAUAGUUGGAGACCAGGAAGAGGCUUGGAUAAAAAACAUACUAUAAAUAUAUAAAAUUCUGUGUUAAAUAAUUUAAAAAUUAGUGUAUUAGUGUAAUAAUUAUAAACAGAUUUGAUGAGUGCCUUGAAGUAUGACAUUUAGUAUUGAAAAGAGGUAAUGCUGAACAGAGAGUUAUAAUACUUGAGAAGGAAUAAUAGUGAAGAUGCUCAUUGAGGUAGUAACUGAUCAGGUAACUGAUUUUAUUUUGCAUUUUUGCUGAGAACUAUGGGAUAAAACAAUACUCCAAAGAUGGAGAUUUGAUUUCCCAAAGGGACCUGCAAAUAUAUGAGAAAGAGGUAAAUUACUUCACUUGUACAAUUGCAUUUCAAUUUAGUAAUAUAAAAUGCAAAGUCCUGAUUUAGGUAGAUAAACAGAAAAAAUGUUCACUGUCAACUGGAAGAUUUCCUGUUCAAAAUUCAUUAGUAGAGAAGACUCAAAUAAAACUGACCUGACUGUAUGAUGCA